UUUCCGUAGGUGAACCUGCGGAAGGAUCAUUAAAAAAUAUCACUGUAUUGUGAUUUAAUAAUCAUCCUACCCUUUAUGAAUUUGUUUUGUUAGAAAAUUUAUGUGUCUAUCCCUGAUGGUUUUUGGAAAGUUGAAAAACUUUUUCAAAUCCCAGGACUAGGCUUUCAUAGACCUUUUUUUAUAUUAAACUUUUUGUAUUCAUUUGUCUAAAUUUAUUUUUAAUAAUUUAAAAACAACUUUUGACAAUGGAUCUCUUGGUUCUCGCAACGAUGAAGAACGCAGCAAAAUGCGAUAAGUAAUGUGAAUUGCAGAAUACGUGAAUCAUCAAAUCUUCGAACGCAUAUUGCACUUUUCUAGUUUACUAGAAAAGUAUGUCUGUUUGAGUAUCAGUAAAAUAUUCUCAUAAAAAACAUUGUUUUUUAUGGUUAUGAGUGUUUUACAACGAUAAACAAGUUGUUUCACUUUAAAUUGAUUUUUAAAAGCCAAUUUGGUUUUAUCUAAUAAAAUUGGAUAAAAUUUUCCCGUAAAAAGGAAUAAACUUUCAGUUUUAAAAGUAAAACUUUAUUGAGCCUAAUUAAAAGGAAAUUUAACAAAAUAACUUGAUCUCAAAUCAGAUAAGAGUACCCGCUGAACUUAAGCAUAUCAAUAAGCGGAGGAAAAGAAACUAACAAGGAUUCCUUAGUAACGGCGAGUGAAGCGGGAAGAGCUCAAAUUUGAAAUCUUCAAGGUUCUACCUUGACGAAUUGUAGUUUAUAGAAGUGUUUUCUGUUAGUGGAGUGGCAAAAGUUCUUUGGAAUAGGACAUCAUAGAGGGUGAGAAUCCGUAUUUGGUCAUUCCUCCUAGCGUUGUGAUACACUUUCAACGAGUCGGAUUGUUUGGGAAUGCAGUCCAAAAUGGGUGGUAAAUUUCAUCUAAAGCUAAAUAUUGGCGAGAGACCGAUAGCGAACAAGUACCGUGAGGGAAAGAUGAAAAGAACUUUGAAAAGAGAGUUAAACAGUACGUGAAAUUGUCAAAGGGAAGCGUUUGACACCAGUGUUGUUUUUCCGAAAAUCAAUUACGAAUGUUUUAUUUUUGAGGAGUUAUGACUUCAUCGCUUGCUCCUUUCUUUAUGAAACUUUCUUAAUGCACUUUUCGGUUAACAAGUCAACAUCAAUUUCUUUGUUGUAAAAGGGUAUGAGGAAGGUGCUUUCUUUUCGGAGAAAGUGUUUAUAGCCUUGUGCCUCUGCAAUCGGAGAGAUUGAGGUCUGCAGCGUAGAUCCUUCGGGUUAGAUACGUUUGUGCUAAGUUAUAGCUUUCAUAGACAACUUGUUGACUAUGUUUAGUCUUGUAGCUUACUCGCUGAGCUAUUU
rnacentral:misc_RNA from 1 species